rnacentral:SRP_RNA from 1 species
UCGUGCUAGAUGGGGAGGUAGCGGUGCCCUGUAACCCGCAAUCCGCUAUAGCGGGGUUGAAUUCCUAUUAGCGGGCAUCUCCAUGUAAGGUCUGACUUAUGCAAGUGGUGUUGACAGUUGGGUCCUACGCAACGGAAACCCAUGAACCCCGUCAGGUCCGGAAGGAAGCAGCGGUAAGUGGAAUUUUUCGUGUGUUGUGGGGUUGCCUAGCUUGAGCUAACUACAUGAGUUCGCUUGGAUGGGAUGUUCAAUAAUAGGUGCACGG